rnacentral:rRNA from 1 species
GACGAACGCUGGCGGCGUGCUUAACACAUGCAAGUCGAACGGUGAAGCGCCUUCCUUUUUGGUGGGUGUGGAUGAGUGGCGAACGGGUGAGUAACACGUGAGUAGCCUGCCCCCUUCUUCUGGAUAACCGCAUGAAAGUGUGGCUAAUAUGGGAUAUUCUGGGUCUGUCGCAUGAUGGGUCUGGGAAAGAUAUUGUUUCGGUGGGGGAUGGGCUCGCGGCCUAUCAGCUUGUUGGUGGGGUGAUGGCCUACCAAGGCGGUGACGGGUAGCCGGCCUGAGAGGGUGGACGGUCACACUGGGACUGAGACACGGCCCAGACUCCUACGGGAGGCAGCAGUGGGGAAUAUUGCACAAUGGGCGCAAGCCUGAUGCAGCGACGCCGCGUGAGGGAUGGAGGCCUUCGGGUUGUGAACCUCUUUCGCCAGUGAAGCAGGCCUGCCUCGUUUGUGGGUGGGUUGACGGUAGCUGGAUAAGAAGCGCCGGCUAACUACGUG